UUUGCGCCCAUUACCUCUCCCACUCCUCACCUCAAACUCUCUAUGUGUCUCAACGAUUCCAUGACUCCACCCAGUUAUCAUCUCACUUUCCCACCUGCUUCUCACUUCUUCACUGGUCUACCUUGACAAUCGGAUCUACGCUGUUGUCAAUCACUCCGUCACCGGACGCCAUCGUUAUGUAUUCUGUCGCCAAUAUAUCAAUGCAAAUCAUACGGUGCAAUAAGAUGAAGAGUUGAAGCUUCCAAGACAUUACCUUGUUUCUCUCCCAAAAAUUGACAAAGCUUCUGACUAUAGAGUUCUGGAGGGAAGCUGAUAUUACGUCAAAGCUUCAUCACCCACAUGUGGUGGCAUUUUACGGUGUAUUCCAAGAUGGAAUAAGAUGGAACCCUUGCUACUAUUACUGAGUAUUAUGGUGGAUGGUUCUACAAGCAUGUUCCACUUUGCAAAGAUAGGUACUAUAUAUUUCAUCUGCUUGAUGUCAUUCUUUAACAUUUUCUACUUUCCCUCAACUCCACUUUUUCAUUAUGUUCUUGAUUCUUGAUUUUUUUGAUACUUAAUAAACUACUACAGGAUUCCCUCAACUUUUCAUAGUGUUGCUGAUGACUUUAGAGAUGAUUGUAGUUGUUGGCUGGUUCCCAUCUAUGAAUCGAAUUAUAGUUCUUGAUGGUAUUCAAAUUGUUCUAUUUUCACACUGGAAGUGCUUGGCAAUUUUCUUUCAUGUGAAAUAGUUAAAAAAUUCCAUUAGUGUAGUCUUGAUGCUAGUUGUCACAUGCAGUUUUGGUCACUGAAGCCAACUGAAAAGGUCUCCAAAUAAUUAUGUUCACUCUGUUAGUUGUGUCAUUGAAGUUAGAAUUGAAAACCUUGUUAUAUGUCUUGGAGCACUUAGAAUAAGAUAACAUCAAUAUAUAUCCAUAGAUUGUGUUUCAAUAUGAUCUUUCUAGAAUUUCAGAUUAAGUUUAUAUAAUCAUGGGAAUGUUGAUGCAAGAUCCAGGAAAUCUUGCCACGCUGCUUAGAUCAGCAUUGGCAUUUAGAUGGGUAAUGAAAUUCGACUAUUUCCAUUUUUGUUGCUUGUUGCUCUACUGCCAUUUCCACCAGUAUGCCAAUACUCAUUUGGUUAAUUUUUCCUGGGUUUUUGCAGUUUUGUAGUCUCUUCCAGCAAUGAGCAACCUGAAUUUUUGCGUCAAUUUGGAAUGAAUCUUCUUCUAAUUCUAAUUCAGGUUAGUUGUUCACUUUAAAGCCUAAACUUGAAAGCCUUAAUUUUGGUUGUGGGUAUAUAUAUUUUCUUUGUGUGCUACCAAUUGAUGUUUAUAUGCACUGAUCAUUUACUUCUGUUGAUUGGUGUCCAUCUUUAGUUUUCCUAGUUCUUCUCCUUGUAUUCCUAGUUACUUGUGCUUCUACCCAAUGUUCUUGAAGUUUAUGAAUAAUGAAUUUGAGAACCUGUUAAGUGCUUACACUAUAUAUUUUCCUAAGUUUAUGAAUAAUGAAUUUGUAGAUGUCUUAAAUAUGUCUAUGAUCAAUUAGGACAAUUGGUGGAUAUCCGGGAGGUAAUGCACCUUUCUAUGAUCAGUUUAUUUGUGAUGAAAAUUGUGAAGAUUUGCAUAAAAUGUGAGGUGCAAUAUGCUAUAAGCAUGCACAUGUCUAUUAUUUUUGUUUUAUAUGUUUUUCUAAUUUGAUAUUAGAAUGCCCUGUAGUAACAUUUUGCUUAUAGUAUAUUAUAGAAAAAUUCCAAAUAAAGUGGCUCACAUAUGGUUAGUUAUAUAUCGGGUAGGUUUCAAUUUUAUAGUGUCAUAGUAUGCGAAAUGUUUUUCUUUAUAGUCAUAGCUAGAACCUUUCAAUGAUUAGUGUAUGCUAGCUUAGAGAGUGAAGUGCCUUGUUGAUUGAAAUUCUUUUAAAUUUGCUUUGCCAUUCCUCUUUGCAAUUUCUUAGUUAUGCGUGGUAUUGCAAGUUGCUCUAAAUUGUAGAAUGACUUUCCAAUCGACUGAGAUAGGCACUUAUAAAUGCAUUUUUAGGUGGAACUCCAUCUGGCAAGUUAACUUGUACUGAAGGCUGGGAGGGAUUUUGACUUAUUUUAAAUUUUCAAUUGUAUAUCGAUGAAUUCUCUAUAAAGGAAUGAAAUGUGUAUAUGUUUU